rnacentral:rRNA from 1 species
UACGGGGGGGGCAAGCGUUGUUCGGAAUUACUGGGCGUAGAGGGCUCGUAGGCGGCCAACUAAGUCAGACGUGAAAUCCCUCGGCUUAACCGGGGAACUGCGUCUGAUACUGGAUGGCUUGAGAUUGGGAGAGGGAUGCGGAAUUCCAGGUGUAGCGGUGAAAUGCGUAGAUAUCUGGAGGAACACCGGUGGCGAAGGCAGCUCGCUGGGACGGUACUGACGCUGAGACGCGAAAGCGUGGGGAGCAAACAGG